UACAGAGACCUCAAGCGUUAUCCGGAUUGAUUGGGUGUAAAGCGUGCGCAGGCGGUUGGUUAAGCCGACGGUCAAAUCUUGCGGCUCAACUGCAAGAUUGCCGCCGGAACUGGCUAACUAGAGCACGGAAGAGGCGAGCGGAAUUGCCGGUGUAACGGUAAAAUGUGUUAAUAUCGGCAAGAACACCAGAGGCGAAAGCGGCUCGCUGGUACGUUGCUGACGCUGUGGCACGAAAGCGCGGGGAG
rnacentral:rRNA from 1 species